GGGGAUGAUCGGUUUCGACAGGGGACGUCGAAACAGGAGAAGCGAGCCGAGGAAUGCGGCAAUGAUCUCGUUAACCAUCUGUCGCAAAAAAAUAAUCGCCAACACUAAGCGCGAUUCCCAGUUCGCUCUCGCUGCCUAAUUAAGCAGCGAUAGCGCAAGGGUGUCAGCCCGGGGAGUUCCCGACCCGGAUCCUGGCAUAAUCUAGGGAACUCAACCGUCCACCCGGGCUACGAGGGUGGGCGGGAAAUCAAACAGUAGCUGGGCCUGUUGGCGGCUUGUCCGCGUGACUGCCAGGGCCGAGAAAAGCACAGCGGACUGCGCUCGGAGAAGUCCUGAAUCCACUCCACUGGACCCGGGUUCGAUUCCCGGCAUCUCCACCA
rfam:Streptomyces sp. CB03911 scaffold13, whole genome shotgun sequence.